rnacentral:rRNA from 1 species
CAGUAGCCGCGGUAAUACAGAGGGUGCGAGCGUUAAUCGGAUUUACUGGGCGUAAAGCGUGCGUAGGCGGCUUCUUAAGUCGGAUGUGAAAUCCCUGAGCUUAACUUAGGAAUUGCAUUCGAUACUGGGAAGCUAGAGUAUGGGAGAGGAUGGUAGAAUUCCAUGUGUAGCGGUGAAAUGCGUAGAGAUCUGGAGGAAUACCGAUGGCGAAGGCAGCCAUCUGGCCUAAUACUGACGCUGAGGUACGAAAGCAUGGGGAGCAAACAGGAUUAGAUACCCCGGUAGUCCCUGUCUCUUAUAC